ACGGCUGUGGUGUAGCGGUAACAUCCGAGCUUCCCAAGCUCGUGUCUCGGGUUCGAUCCCCGGCAGCCGUA
rnacentral:tRNA from 1 species